rnacentral:rRNA from 1 species
AUUGAACGCUGGCGGCAUGCUUUACACAUGCAAGUCGAACGGCAGCGCGGGCUUCGGCCUGGCGGCGAGUGGCGAACGGGUGAGUAAUGCAUCGGAACGUGCCCAGUAGUGGGGGAUAGCCCGGCGAAAGCCGGAUUAAUACCGCAUACGACCUGGGGGUGAAAGCGGGGGACCGAAAGGCCUCGCGCUAUUGGAGCGGCCGAUGUCGGAUUAGCUAGUUGGUGGGGUAAAGGCUUACCAAGGGGACGAUCCGUAGCUGGUCUGAGAGGACGACCAGCCACACUGGGACUGAGACACGGCCCAGACUCCUACGGGAGGCAGCAGUGGGGAAUUUUGGACAAUGGGGGCAACCCUGAUCCAGCCAUGCCGCGUGCGGGAAGAAGGCCUUCGGGUUGUAAACCGCUUUUGUUCGGGAAGAAAUCCUCUGGGCUAAUACCCCGGGGGGAUGACGGUACCGGAAGAAUAAGCACCGGCUAACUCCGUG